UACGUAGGGUGCAAGCGUUGUCCGGAAUUAUUGGGCGUAAAGAGCUCGUAGGCGGUCUGUCGCGUCGGAUGUGAAAAACCCAGGGCUCAACCCUGGGCCUGCAUUCGAUACGGGCAGACUAGAGUUCGGUAGGGGAGACUGGAAUUCCUGGUGUAGCGGUGAAAUGCGCAGAUAUCAGGAGGAACACCGGUGGCGAAGGCGGGUCUCUGGGCCGAAACUGACGCUGAGGAGCGAAAGCGUGGGGAGCAAACAGG
rnacentral:rRNA from 1 species